AAAAAAAAGAAAAAAAGAGAAAAGGGGAAGAGAUCGAUAACCCUGCAGCCGCUACAAACCCUAGUCGCCAUCACCCCAAUGGCUGCUGCGCCGUCGCCGCAGGUUCAGCCAUCGCCGUCCAGCGCCACUCCUGCUCGACUCCUUGAGAGCAGGAGUUUCAAGAAGCAGGGAAAGCAGGAGAAAAGAAGGAAAAAGGAAAGAGAGGCAAAAGUUGGGGAUUUUCUGGGUGUGGAGGGUUCCAAUGUUGGAGGAGUUGAGUCGGAUUAUUGAAGGAGUUAAGGCAAG